UUUCUUCCAGUACUUUUACUGGAGUUGUGCCCAAAGAUUAAGCUGCCUCAAGGCCCUCAGCGAGGCUAUGCAUGACUGAAAUGAAGAUGUUCUAGUUCACUGGAGCUCGGAGAGCAAUUACUUGUAGCUGUCUUUGGCAUUUGUGCCAGGCAUAUCAGAAAAUAAAAUGAAGAUGCUGUGCACACCCCAUGUCUUCAUCUCCAACGUGUGGCAAGGAGUGCAAUGAAAGGAGCAGCUGUUCUCCCAAGGCCUUAUGUCCUCUCCUCUUCAUAGACAGAAAGUGCAGAAGAGCAGUUCUUGACUUGGUGGACCUGGAGAAACCUUUCAUUUUGACGGCUAAGAGUAGGUGAUCACCUACAUUCAACCUCAACUUUGCAGGCCCAGGGGCAACCUGGAAUGAAGAUGGAGACAGAGGCCAGCAAGGCUCAGAAGGAGAGAAAAGUCAGCUGUCCCCUGCCCCUCUGCAGUUUCCUGGGUAAAGCAAACUGGAACUGAAAAGAGAAAAAGUUUUAAAUUGGGUGAGAAUAUGGAGUUAUGUUAAUUAAAAUGACCGUUCUUGUGAAUGAAAGUGACUUGAAAGCUUAGUACCCUAGAAUGGUGAGAUAAGCUGUGUUAUUUGUAUGUGUUUUUAAUGUUUUUGCUCAAAAUAAAAAAAUGUUUUCUGUUUAAUUGCAUCAU